CGGCGCAGAGGAAAAGUGGCCCAAGGUUAGAGUCCAUACAGACUCCUGGACACUGGGGAAUGGCUUGGCUGUUGUCCUGGGGACCAGAAGGAGAGAAUUUGGAAGAUUGAGAACAAAGUAGGGAAGAAACUCGUGAAUAGAUUUCCAAGUCAGUCGUGAAGCCCAGAACCCUUCUACUGCCUGUCAGUGGCCAGAAGGGACAGUCCACAACCACGCAGAGACAGCGGCUCAGCGGGGUUGCCAGCCAGCCUGUCCCCCGCCACCGCAGAGCCGGACUGGAACUUGGACCGAGCCGCCAGGGGCGGGUGGACCUCCUGCCGCCGAGUGAGUCACGCCGUUGCUCAACUCCCAGCUCCAGGAAGGAGGCCCGGCCGGGCCCUGCUGUGGCCUCUUCCCUCAGCUGGCCCAAUGGCCACUUGGUGGGAAGUGAUGGCCAUGGACUCUUUCCACCCUGGAACCAGCAGAGAUUUUUCUCGUCUAGAAGUGACCCAUGGUCAAGGGCAGCAGAGAACCUGGCCUUCACUGACAGGGACGUGACGGCUCCUCAGCCACCCCCGCCCCCCGCCGAGGACCCAGCCCAAGGAACACCAGUGACAUGAAGCCCAGAACGAGACUCCGCUAAUCCUGGGGCCCUCAGGUCCCAGGGCUGACCCUGUUGGGACCGUUUGGGGCACACAGGCUGAGCGUGUACCUGGGACGAAAGGACCUAUCAGUCACCGCAGCUACAGGUGGCUGGCGCGUCCCACGAGUGGACACGUCCUGUGCUCUAUCUCACUGACCCCCAUGAGGCGGGUGCCAAGUUCAUUCCACUGGACCCAGGAGGGACCUCUGUAAAAACUUCACAGAGGUUUCAGGUUGGCCUAGGGCCACACAGCGACAGAGCAGAGGGACUCAAGUCUGGGGCGUCCAAUGCCAAGCCACACGCUCAACCUGUGUGGCUUCUGUCCCCUGGAGGUGGCAGGAGCUAAGAGGGUUGCGGACCCGCAAAGGAGAUUUUAAUUUGAACAAUGGACAGUUCCCUGGGACCUGGCUGACGCCUCCCAUUAAGAUGCUCUAGAAUCAGAUUUGCAUAAUGGGUCGAGAAGGUCGUUGGGAAAAGGGCCAAAUCCAUAACCCUGGGCCACGGAGUCCACAAGUGGGUUAGAAGACACAGAAAGGAGGCGACCUGACCUCUCUUCCGCUCUACCCUAGCCAGCGACAGCCCUCAAGUUUCUUGACCUCCAACAAAACAAAACCACAAAACUUACCUAUUCCAGAUUUGAGGAUUUAUGGGUUCACAGUUAAAUGAUCUGAUAGAUAUUAAGAAAACUGGGAAUGUCUUUGGGUCCCAGAUCCCCUUCGAGCCAUCUAGAAGGGUCUGUGUUUCUUAGCAAGCCUCAGUAACGUGGCCUACUAAGAUCUGCCUCCACUUCCUGUUGCCACGACACAGCUCAGGGACUGUGUGGCCUUGAACAAGCAGUGAACAGAUUUGGUUCAACUGUCUGCGGGGUUCUGCGAUCUGGUUUGGGUUCGGCCGACCUCGGCUGGACUGGCUCGUGCAUCUUCAGUCAGUUGUGGGUUGUGUGGACGUCCUGCUGACCUUGACUGGGCUCACACCCGUGUCUAGUGUCUCAGUUGGUCUGGGAUGGCCUUGUCCAAGGUCACUGGGCAGUUGGGUCUGGGUGCUAGUCUCAUUCUCCAACAGGACAGCCUGAGCACAUUCUCAAGGCAGGUUAAUCUAUACAUUAAGUGUUGUAAGAGAUGAACAAUAAUAACUAAAAAUAAAAGAGAGCAAUUUUAACAAUUGCUCCUGUGUUUUGAGACCA